rnacentral:rRNA from 1 species
CGCGUAGGCGGUCUAUUAAGUCAGUUGUUAAAGAUCAUGGCUUACCCAUGAAACAGCAAUUGAUACUGGUAGACUAAGGAGGGCAAGAGAGAGAAGUGGAAUUCUCGGAGUAGCGGUAAAAUGCGUAGAUCUCGAGAGGAACACCGAUGGCGAAGGCAGCUUCUUGGCUUGUACCUGACGCUGAGGCGCGAAAGCGUGGGGAGCAAACA